rnacentral:rRNA from 1 species
GACGAACGCUGGCGGCGUGCUUAACACAUGCAAGUCGAACGGAAAGGCCCUGCUUUUGUGGGGUGCUCGAGUGGCGAACGGGUGAGUAACACGUGAGUAACCUGCCCUUGACUUUGGGAUAACUUCAGGAAACUGGGGCUAAUACAGGAUAUGAGCUCCUGCUGCAUGGUGGGGGUUGGAAAGGUUCGGCGGUUGGGGAUGGACUGCCGGCUUCCUAGCUUGUUGGUGGGGGAGUGGCUUACCAAGACUUUGACGGGUAGUCGGCCUGAGAGGGUGACCGGCCACAUUGGGACUGAGAUACGGCCCAGACUCCUACGGGAGGCAGCAGUGGGGAAUAUUGCACAAUGGGCGGAAGCCUGAUGCAGCAACGCCGCGUGCGGGAUGACGGCCUUCGGGUUGUAAACCGCUUUCGCCUGUGACGAAGCGUGAGUGACGGUAAUGGGUAAAGAAGCACCGGCUAACUACGUG